GGGGAAUUUUGCGCAAUGGGGGAAACCCUGACGCAGCAAUGCCGCGUGGAGGACGAAGGUCUUCGGAUUGUAAACUCCUUUUGCGGGGGACAAAUAGCGGCGUGAAUAACGCCGACUGAUGGUACUCCGUGAAUAAGCCACGGCUAACUUCGUGCCAGCAGCCGCGGUAAGACGAAGGUGGCGAGCGUUACUCGGAAUUACUAGGCGUAAAGCGUGGGCAGGCGGUUUGGUAAGUCUGCUGUGAAAGCCCCGGGCUCAACCCGGGGAGGUCAGUGGAUACUGCCGGACUUGGAUGUGGGAGAGGUGACUGGAAUUCCUGGUGUAGCGGUGAAAUGCGUAGAUAUCAGGAGGAACACCGAUGGCGAAAGCGGGUCACUGGACCACUAUCGACGCUCAUCCACGAAAGCUGGGGGAUCAAAC
rnacentral:rRNA from 1 species